rnacentral:rRNA from 1 species
AGCGGCGGACGGGUGAGUAACGCGUGGGUAACCUGCCUCAUACAGGGGGAUAACAGUUAGAAAUGACUGCUAAUACCGCAUAAGACCACAGCACCGCAUGGUGCGGGGGUAAAAACUCCGGUGGUACAAGAUGGACCCGCGUCUGAUUAGCUAGUUGGUAAGGUAACGGCUUACCAAGGCGACGAUCAGUAGCCGACCUGAGAGGGUGACCGGCCACAUUGGGACUGAGACACGGCCCAA